rnacentral:lncRNA from 1 species
UAAAAUUAACUCAUUACUUUGAUCAUAUGCUGGUGUAGGUUGCAUAUUUUAAAAUUACAUUUUCCAAAUGGCCCAUCUCAUUUUUCAUACAAAUGAUAUAUUUCAACUCCAUGUGAAUUUUAAGUAGAAAAUUCUGUUGUUCUACAAAUGGAAAGAAAUGGACUCACAUUUCACAGAAUACAUUAAUGAAGAAGGAGGCAGACACACUUUCUCCCAAUGACAUCAAAAGGAAGAUAGAGACAUCGAGCAGAAAACUUUUUUUUAGUAGAAGGAUAUUUGAGUUUUCUUCUAUAAGUUGAUCUCUUGAGAUCAGUUGGGGGAAAAAGAAAACAUUAUUCUUAUGCCCUGUUUCUGGAGUGAGAUGAAGAACAGAAUUUCUUUCCUGAAGAUUUAAUCUGGGUCAGUUUAAACGCUGGCCCAGGCUAGCUCCUUGGGGAGGUUUCUCCUGAAAGCCCCACAAGAGCUCCUUGAGUCCAGAGGUGGGGGAGGAAAAGGGCCCCACUCUAUAAACAGAGCCUCAGGAUGACAAUCCAAUCAGCCCAGAAACUAGCCGGGCCCUCACUUAAAUUUAAUGUCUCUGUGUUUGCACUGAUAGUGCUAACAAGCCAGCCCAGGCCCAUCAGCAUCAGGAAAUUUCUUUUAAUUACACAAUGAGAGCACUGUGCAAACCCCUCCACACUGCAGGUCGGUGCCACAUCACACAGGGACAAGGGGAGGCUCGAGGGUGGAGGCUGCUUUUUGCUGAAGAGCUGAAGAUUAUCUGUGGGAAUUCUUUCAAAGCAGCAGAGGUGAUUAAAAUAUAUUUAGCACUCAUUUCUCUCCUGCUUUCCUCCUUCAUCCUCACAAAUAUCACUGGAAGAGGAACAAUGCAUCAUUAAUAUCCUUGAUCCUCCAUUCCGAAUAAGGGGAGGAAGUCUUCAUUUGCACAAGCUGUAGAGGCAGGGAGAAGGACCCCACACUGAGGUGUCCUAUUCAGGGUCAUGUAAAAAACCAAGCCAGGCAAUCAGCUCCAUCUACUUCAGGCUCUAAAUAGAGUUUUUCUUUUGGGAGCAUGGUAGAGGGGGUUCUCUGAAUUUUAUGAUGCUGGUUUGUUUUUGUUUUGCUUUGAUAGGUUUGCUUUUUUGAAUUUUUUUUCUAUAUCAAUUCUGAUUUGUUAUGUUUUUUAAAAAAAUUUUAAUAAACAUUUGACUGAUCUGAGGUUGUUGAAGUGUGAACUGGGAUAAGAACAAAAAAGCAAUAUGUUAUUUUAGGAAGGUAAGAAAAGAAAAAUUAAGUGGCAGGAUUUUUUUUUAAUUCUAGCAGCCCUCAAGAGUUUGUAUCAAGCUAUAUUGGGGGUUGGUGGGAGAGGAGGGACAGGGAGAGAGAGGAGGGGGAGCAAGAGGAGGGAGAGAGAAUGUUCAUACAUAUCAGAUUUCGGCUAAUGGCUCCCCUGCUAACAGUGGGAAGCAAAAACUUGAAGUAGUCAGUGUAAGGUUUGGAGGUUCAAGCUUCAGUUUUCACAAAAAUGCCAACUUACUCCAAGAAAAGAUUCCUUAGGCCAGAGCAGACAGAGCACCUCUACACUAACAUGAAUAUGAUAUGCUUUGAGGGACCCAAAGGAAAAAGGUCCCACCCUUAGGUCAAACUUUAAAAAUGCCAUAUUCAUAACACAAAAAACUCCAGCCUAUUGGAAUGCUGGCUACAUCACAAUAUCACAGUUUCCAUUUAUUCGAAAUUACCAUUUAUUAGAAAUUAACCAUCCCCCCUAUACACACACACACACACACACACACACCCUGAAAGGGCUUUCCUUGUCUUAAGCCUCUGUGUAUGAAACACUCUGGAACCCACCGGCCUAGGUGUUAGAACAGCACCGAAGUUGCCAGGGCCAGGGGUCCAGCCAUCCUGACCUCUGCUAGCCACCCUGCAAGGGCCGAUGUUCCCACGCAGGAGGCCCCAGGGAGGUGGUACUGAGCAACCGGCCACACCCAAGGAAACAGCUCAGAGCUCAACUUCCUCCUGAAUUAGGCCACACCCGAGGCCUCCCGGGUCUCAUCCACGCCUCUGGGUCCAUCACUAAACAGAAGGCACAAUCCCACUAACUCUUACUCCAUCGCUGCUCAUGAAACUCCUGCCAGUAAGGACUGGGUCAAGCACCUGAAAACCAGAGCUCGUCCGUGGCUUCACUUGUUUUGGACUAAGGAGCUGAGGAGCGUGCAAGACUGUACUUGGAGAAUCUGUUUCUUGCUGCCAUUUCGUCACUGAACACUAUUUUUUUUCUCCUUCUUUUUUUGUAAGAAAAGGAGAACACAUAAAACCCCACCAGAACAAACUCCACUCGGCCCUGAAAGUAUUUACAAUCACGGCCCUGAAAGUACUGAAAGUAUUUACAAUCACGUUACAGUUCAUUCACUGCUGCAGAACCUCUCUCCAGCGAUCAAGGUCGAAGGGAGCCGACGUCGCCCUCUAUCGGCUCCCUGCUGCACUAGAAGGAUCGGGAAGAUGGAGGCUCCUGAAGAGCUGUAGAAGCGCAUCCUAGGCAGAAGCCCAGCAGACAGCAAAGGGCCUGGUUUGUUCAAGGAACUGGAGGGCAAGAAAAUCAGGAGCCAAUUCAUGCAGGGCACAGUUAGCCAAGAUAUUGACUGAGAAUCCUCCAUGUGCCAAGUACUGUUCAAAAACACUGGGAACCCAGCAGGGAUGAGCCACAAGUUUCCUUGUCUUUACGAAGCUUUCAUUCUGAGGGAGUGGAGAGAGACAAGCAAUAAACAACCAAUCAAAACAAAGAUGACUCCUCUGAGUGUUGUGAUAUGCGGGUCAAGGAGGAUGGCUCCCAGGAUGUGACCUCAGAGCAGAAGCCUGGAGGCUUGCCAGCAGCGGGAAGAGCAGCGGCAGGGCACUGCAGGCAGAGGUGACCAAAAGCGUGAAACCUUGAGCUGGGAAGCACGUGGUCUGCUGGAAAGUGGGCUGAUGUAUUUGAAGAGAGCAAGGAGCAGAAUGGUACAAUGGGGUGAUGGGGGAAGAGCCAGGCAGAGCCCAGUGCUGCAAAGCCCGGUAGCACAUACAUGUGUAACGUACCUUGAAGCAAAUGAAUGGCCUGAUCUGGUUUCUGUUUUGGCUGCUCUGUGGUGAUGUGGUGCCUGGGAGGCAAAGAAGCUGGGAAAGAAGCGGUUUUUCUCUUCUAGGUACUUUAAAGCUCUAUAAUAUAUGCUCAGGUGAAAUUUGGCUGGUAUUUUCAGGGACUUCACUGCUUUUGUGCCAUACUGGCCUCAUCAUGUAGAUAACAUCACGGAUUCAUUCCAUCUUAUUAUUCUGUAAGAGUGAUGUCUAAUUUUUUUAAAAAAGAAUCAGCUUUAAAAAAUGCAAAGUCUCAUAGAAAGUAACUCUUUUCUAUUUUAAGCAAGCAUUCAGAAUAUUAGCAGUGCUAAUCAGUACCUCACUAAACAGUUAUGACUGAUUCUAAGUGCAAAGUGGGGAAUGAGAGUAACAGAGAGUAUUUACUGGCUGCUAAAAGCAGGUACAAUGGGGAGCAUGCUAGAGAAACUGUCUCACUGAAUCCUCGGAUGACCCCAUGGUGUAGGUAAUACUGGAGAAACUGAGGCUGCAGUGGCCACAUGACUUGCACAAGGCCACCCAGUAAGAAUGGGAUAGAACAAGAGCCCAUGUCCAUAACCCCUCUCCUACUACGCUAAGGUCAGGGUGGCCCUUUAAGGUGACCAAAGGGUUAGAAAUAACAAACAAGAGUGGAUGAACCUAGGUUUAUUUUGUCUGGAGGAGAGAAAUCUUUGAGAGUGAUUAAUUAAAGCAUAUUCAGGAUAUUUUUUAAAUAAACGGAGAGAGCUGUUCUCCAUCAUCCCUAAUGGUAGAAGAAAAGGCCUUCACCCUCAGCCUGGCAGGUGAAGACAGAGAUAAAGAAUGUGCAGACUGUGGGAUCUUGCUGGGAGGGAGGCAGGACUCACCUACCUAGUCUGUCUCUGAUGCAUUUCUUUGGAAAAUGCAUGUUGACAGUGCUUCUAAAAGUAAUCAUAUGAGCUGCCUGAAAAGGUCAACUUUCAACUCUGGUAAAGAUUGGGAUGCCUUUUCCAGAUUAAUUCCACAUUGGUGUUUGUGGGCAAUGCUGAAACAAAAGAAAAUCCAGGCUAGCCAAAACUUUUCACAUAAAUAGUGACAAAAGCAACCGAGUGGCUGGACAGAUUUGAGACAGGAACAGCCCGAGGACUACAGCAGGGGCUCCCAGUCUGGAGACUCUAACAUAGAUCUCCAGAUGACCCCAAUGACUGGGAAUUGCUUUUACUCUGGACAGCCUGCUGGGCGGCCCCAGUUGACUGUCCCGGGUAUGUCCCGGGUCGCUAACCACUUUGACUGCCCCUGAGCCACAGAGUCAGGCAGGAGUCAGGGACACGUAGGUACUCUCUUCUCCCUGCCCCUCACCUUCCUUCAGGGCCACCUCGGCCACAAAGGCUGGCUCCACAUCAGUCAGCUACUCAGACAUGCUCUCGCCUCACCUCCU